UACGUAGGGGGCAAGCGUUGUCCGGAUUUAUUGGGCGUAAAGAGCGUGUAGGCGGCCGCACAGGUCCGUUGUGAAAACUGGAGGCUUAACCUUCAGACGUCGAUGGAAACCGUGCGGCUAGAGUCCGGAAGAGGAGAAUGGAAGUUCCUGGUGUAGCGGUGAAAUGCGCAGAUAUCAGGAAGAACACCCGUGGCGUAAGGCGGUUCUCUAGUACGGUACUGACGCUGAGACGCGAAAGCGUGGGGAGCGAACAGG
rnacentral:rRNA from 1 species